rnacentral:tRNA from 1 species
GGGGAUUUAGCUCAGUGGUAGAGCGCUUGCCUAGAGCACUUGCCUAGCAAGCGCAAGGCCCUGGGUUCGGUCCCCAGCUCCG